UUCUACAGAAACAAGAUGUUAAAAAUAUGGAAUGUGUUUGUUAAAUUAGGUUGAUUUCAAAUUAAAAUGUUUAAAUAUGGUUUGAAUCUGAUAAUUAAUGUGCUAUAUCCAAUUAAAAUGAUUAUAGGCUGUAAUUGUUUGGGUGUUUGUGGUUGUUUUGUGGUUUUGUGUUUGUUGUUUUUAUUUGGGUCUGAUAUUGCCCCGGUUUAUUUUUGUUGCUACAACUUGUACUUCAGUGAAGGCUUCACAGAAAUGAACCACAUUGUUGAUUUAAGUGCUUUGGAGAUGGUUAUAAACAUAUCUUGUAGAUAUCUAUCAUUUAAUGCCCAUUAAAGCCUGAGUUCAUUUAAGGAAAUGUUAGUUGAAAUGCUCUAUUAUCUUUUAAAGUGCUAUUUGAGGUUGUUUCCCACCCGGUGAAUGGAGAAGAAUCACAAUCAGUGGCGGCUGUUAACUGGCAAUCUGCUGAGUGCUAAUGAGACUCGUUGAGAAUGCUCCAAUCACAUGAGGCCAAAUAUAUAAAAACAACAUUGAUUCGCUAACGACACUGGGAGGGUUCAAGGACAAUUUAAAACAAGCCAAUCGGAGCUCAGCCUCAAGUCACAUGCUUUUCCAAAUUUUAUGGACCAACACACAUGAAUGGAACAUAGUUUUGUUUUUUUUAAAUAAAUUAUUAAAAUAAAAAGAAGUUGAAGUAUUUCACUUUUGCAACAUUUCAUGUAUGCAUUUAAACUCCUGAGCGGUUAUAGACUUGGAGGAAACAACGUGCUGCCCGCUGUGAUGACCAGGAACAUGGUGAGAUUCUAAACUCUUUAUACAAGAAGCAAACCAUUUUUUUUUGUAUUUUAAAGAUUAUGAUUUUUGUUUUUUGUUUUUUGUUGGCAUUUUUGUUUUUUUGGCCAGUGGCAGUAAAAACACAGUGGAGAGAUGGGAUGAUUUGCAGCAAAGGGCCUGAGCUGGAACUGAAUCUCGACUGCCUGAAGAACAGUACAGUAUGUGGUACAAGUUCUACCAGCAGUCAUUCUUGAAAUGGACCUCAUCAAUCUCUUUCCUGUUCUACAAAUCAUCCCUUUUGAUCAGACGCUGGUCUUGUCCAGGAUAAAUAUCGAGAGGAUCAGAUCAGCCCACAGUGGACAACAUGCAGGUCCUCAAGCUGAACUAGUGACAGUACAUGCUGUAACUUCCAGUUUCUCGAACAUCAUGUCCAAGUCUGUCCCAUGUCUUCACACAAGUCUGGACUAGUGACUUAUUCCUCUUGUUCAACCAGGGCAAGCCCUGAUACAUAAUGUUUGUUUAUUUCACCAUGGAUUAUCCAAUCAUAUGGACAUGUGCUGUUUUUUCAAGAUUUCAUUACUAAUUUGAGAGUAUUGGACAAGGUAUUUGAUCAAUUCAAAC